rnacentral:tRNA from 1 species
GCCCGUCUAGCUCAGUCGGUAGAGCGCAAUGCUCUUAUCUUUGUGGUCCAGGUUUCAAGCCCCAGGGUGGGCA